rnacentral:lncRNA from 1 species
UGGGGAAGCAGAUGUAGGUCAAUCCAGGGUACCGUGGCUGGAUGGGUGUUUUGGGGCUUGGGCUGCUUUGAGUGAGCACAAUGCUACCCUCCUUCCUCUCACCUCCCUGCACUGCCCAACAUCUGACACCUGCAACACACACCCUUUCCCAGAAGGCCAAAUACCAUGGCAGUUAAAAGCCUGGGCUUUGGAGUCAGGAAACCUGGUGUCAAGUCCAUUAUUUACCACGUGUCAUCACUAAUUAACUCAACAAAGGGCAGCUCUGGCUUUUCACUUCUUAAUCUGUCAAGUGGGGCCAAUAAGGGAUUAUUCCUCCUAAAAGGCUGAUUAUUACACGAGCUAAUAGAUUACAGAGUUCUUAGCACAAUGCCUGGCACAUAGUGAGUCCUAAUGAAAGCUAGCUAGUUUUAUCAACCUGGGUCAAUAGUGCUCUGAGCUCUAGAAAGGCCUUGAGGAGUCUGGCUGUGUCUUUGUUUACUCCCACCUUCACCAAAGCCAUUUCAUUUUUAUCUAUUCUAUAUUUGUUUCCUGUGAAGAUUUUACUUUAGUGGAGUUAUGCUUUUAAAAAACUCUUCAGGAGUUCCUGUCGUGGUGCAGUGGAAAUGACUCCAACUAGGAUCCAUGAGGUUGUGGGUUCAAUCCCUGGCCUCGCUCAGUGAAUUAAGGAUCGGGCGUUGCCAUGAGCUGUGGUGUAGGUCGAAGGCGUGGCUCAGAUCUGGCAUUGCUGUGGCUAUGGCUGGCAGCUAUACCUCUGAUUAGACCCCUAGCUGGGAACCUCCAUAUGCUGCAGGCGCAGCCCUAAAAGGCAAAAAAGAAAAAAUUAUUUUUGAGAAUUUGCAAUUUUACUUUACAAACCACCUUUCUACUCCUUUGUACUAGAGAGAGUUGGGAGCCAAUGGGCUUUCACUCAGAACCCUGUUGGCUUAUCUAAUGCACACCCAAACCAGAUGCACCCAGUGAACUGUGAUGAAUACCCCAGCUAACCACAAUCAUGCUCCCCACAGCAUCCAACUGCACAGCCCUCCCUUGUUCCUCAGUCAACCAAGGCCCCCCCUGGGGUUAAAACCUGUUGUGCAGGGCAACCUCUCCCCCACUUAGACUCAUGCCUAGAUAUCCAAGAGAUCACAGCAGACAUUGUCACUGAAAUUUUUUCUUUCCUUUUGUUGGCUGUGCCUGUGGCAUGCAGAAGUUCCCGGGCCAGGGAUCAAACUUGCACCACAGCUGUAGCCAGAGCCACCGCAGUGACAACACCGGCUGCUUCACCCUCUGAGCCGUGUGGGAACUCCUCACUGAACGUUUCUUUAAACUGAAUCUGGAAGCGUUAAGACAAACGACUCAGUAAUUCCCACUUCUAGCUUGCUUAGGUCAGGACGGUAUAUAGGGGAGAGAUGAAAUCAUGCAAUUAGAUCCCGAGAGCCUACAGAAUAAAACAUCACUGCUCAAAGUCACUCAGCUGGAAAAAAUACUAAACUCAGGAAAUUUUAUGCCCUCGGAUACAUUGCUUAUCCAAAGCUGUAUCUAAAAUCACUUAGAAAUCAAACAUUUCUAUUGAAUUGGAUUCAUGGGCGUGCAACCCAUGGAGUUCACACAGGGUCCAGACUUAAAAAUGCCCCGCGCUUGGUUUACUGCUCUGCUGUCUUCGUUUUGAAAUUCCAAAUAAUGUAAUCUUUGAAUUUAUAUUUUGUAAGUGAAGUCUGAUGGGAAAACGUAGCCUGUGCAAGAACAGAGGAGAUUAAGUGUUCUCCAUUAUUCACUGCCGAAUGUGCGUGUGAUUUUCUAGAUUUGCCCAGGAACGCUGAAUUCUGGUGGAGAUCCAAAAUGCCUGCGUUCAGUAAGACACAAAACAAGUGCAAGGUAAGCGUGUUAUGUCCAAAACUAAGUGGGGCCCUGAUAGCCCUGAGACCCUGUGCUUUCCAUUCACACCAGAACUUGCUUUGAGUGUAGAAAGCAAGCAGUGGCAUCCUAAAACACACAAAUGACUGAAAAAUGCUAUCACGCCCUUUCUUACUUGUGUUAAUUUCCUGUAUUAGCCAACUACUUACACUGAAAAUGACAGGGAAGGAAAGGGAAAGAUAGUGACCUAUAGUUCUUUUCCUUUCAGUUCUUUCUUACUCAUCAGUAAGCUGAAGAUAGUGCUUGUAGGAUGUGUGCAUAUCAAGAAGCAAAAUAAAGACAGUUGAGGUAUUUUUGUGCAGUGUUUCCACUGCUCUGAUAAGGACGAAAUAUCUGUGUGUGUAUAAGCUAUAAUAUAUGAACUGUGCAAUUUUGGCAAUUCUGCAUGAGUUAAAUGCUCUUAUACUUGCAUUUUAAAAAGGCAUUGCACAAUACAGAGAUGAACGUUAAAAUUCAUGUUAAAUUUAAAAUUUUAAUUUUUAUUUAUUUAGAAUGACAUUAAACAUAAAAUUAAAAAAAACCAUUGCAAAUUUAGAAAAGAACCUCAGAAGAAAGCAAAACUUUACAUUUUAGCACCUUUUUUCCAAACAGUUUAAGAUAUAGUUUAUAAAAAUGAAAUCUUGCCAUUUGUGACAACAUGGAUGGAUCUGGAGGGUUUUACGCUAAGUGAAAUAAGACAGAAAGAGACAAAUACUGUACGAUUUCGGAAGUUCCCCUGUGGUGCCGCAGGUUAAGGAUCCAGUGUUGCCACAGCUGUGGUGUACAUCCUUGGCCCAGGAAAUUCCAAGUACCACAGAUGCGGCCACCCCCCCCCAACAAAUACUGCAUUAUUUCACUUAUAUGUGGAAUCUAAAAAACAAAAUGAAGAGGUAAAAACCUCCAGUUGUAAGAUAAAUACGCACAGGGAUGUAACAUACAGCAUAAGGAAUGUGGUCAGUGAUAUGGUGAUAGAUUUGUUUGGGACUAGACGGUUGCCAGACACAUCAGGAGACCAUUUUUAUACCGUACCUCAAAUCACUAUGUAGUGCACCUAAAACCAACAUAAUAUUGUAUGUCAGCUAUGUUCCCUCAGAAAAGAUGAGUUCCUGUGUGGCUCAGUGGGUUAAGUGUCUGGCGUUGUCACCACAGUGGCUCAGGUUUAGUUCCUGGCCUGGGAACUUCCGCAUUUUGUGGGUGCAGCCACAGAAGUAAACAAAUAAAUAUUUUAAAAACGAAAAAGUUGACGAGUUCCCAUUGUGGCUCAGCAGUAAUGAACCCAACUAGUAUCCAUGAGGACUUGGGUUUGAUCCCUGGCCUCGCUCAGUGAGUUAAGUAUACGGCGUUGCUGUGAGCUGUGGUGUAGGUCGCAGACGUGGCUCAGACUCCACAUUGCUGUGGCUCUGAUGUAGGCCGGCAGCAGAAGUUUUGAUUUGACUCUUACCCGGGGAACUUCCAUAUGGCCCUAAAAAGAAAAAAAAAAAAAAAAAAAAAAAAAAGAAAG